GUGUCGCAUGUCUAGUAUAAGCAUUAUACCGUGAAACUGCGAAUGGCUCAUUAAAUCAGUUAUCGUUUAUUUGAUAGUACCUUACUACUUGGAUAACCGUGGUAAUUCUAGAGCUAAUACAUGCUAAAAACCCCAACUUCGGGAGGGGUGUAUUUAUUAGAUAAAAAACCAAUGCCCUUCGGGGCUCCUUGGUGAUUCAUAAUAACUUCUCAGAUCGCAUGGCCUUGCGCCGGCGACGGUUCAUUCAAAUUUCUGCCCUAUCAACUUUCGAUGGUAAGGUAUUGGCUUACCAUGGUUUCAACGGGUAACGGGGAAUUAGGGUUCGAUUCCGGAGAGGGAGCCUGAGAAACGGCUACCACAUCCAAGGAAGGCAGCAGGCGCGCAAAUUACCCAAUCCCGACACGGGGAGGUAGUGACAAUAAAUACUGAUACAGGGCUCUUUAGGGUCUUGUAAUUGGAAUGAGUACAAUUUAAACCUCUUAACGAGGAACAAUUGGAGGGCAAGUCUGGUGCCAGCAGCCGCGGUAAUUCCAGCUCCAAUAGCGUAUAUUAAAGUUGUUGCAGUUAAAAAGCUCGUAGUUGAACCUUUGGCCUGGCUGGCGGGUCCGCCUCACCGCGUGCACUCGUCCGGCCGGGCCUUUUCUUCUGGAGAACCGCAUGCCCUUCACUGGGUGUGUUGGGGACCAGGACUUUUACUUUGAAAAAAUUAGAGUGUUCAAAGCAGGCCUUUGCUCGAAUACGUUAGCAUGGAAUAAUAGAAUAGGACGUGCGGUCCUAUUUUGUUGGUUUCUAGGACCGCCGUAAUGAUUAAUAGGGACAGUCGGGGGCAUCAGUAUUCAAUUGUCAGAGGUGAAAUUCUUGGAUUUAUUGAAGACUAACUACUGCGAAAGCAUUUGCCAAGGAUGUUUUCAUUAAUCAGUGAACGAAAGUUAGGGGAUCGAAGACGAUCAGA
rnacentral:rRNA from 1 species